CCCUUAGAUGUUCUGGGCCGCACGCGCGCUACACUGACGAAUGCAACGAGCUUAUAACCUUGGCCGAAAGGUCUGGGUAAUCUCCAAAUUUCGUCGUGAUGGGGAUAGAUUAUUGCAAUUAUUAAUCUUCAACGAGGAAUGCCUAGUAAGCGCAAGUCAUCAGCUUGCGUUGAUUACGUCCCUGCCCUUUGUACACACCGCCCGUCGCUCCUACCGAUUGAAUGGUCCGGUGAAGCGCUCGGACCGCGGCCUCUUGACGGUUUUCCGUCGAUUGGCUGUGGGAAGUUCGUUAACCCUUAUCAUUUAGAGGAAGGAGAAGUCGUAACA
rnacentral:rRNA from 1 species